GGCGUGCCUAACACAUGCAAGUCGAACGAGAAAGCAGGCUUCGGUCUGCAAGUACAGUGGCAUACGGGUGAGUAACACGUGGGUAACCUGCCCGGAGGUGGGGGACAACUCUUCGAAAGGGGAGCUAAUACCGCAUGACAUCCCUAGGAUCUCGGUCCAUGGGAUCAAAGUUUGCCUCUGUUUCAUGCAAACGCCACCGGAGGGACCCGCGCCCCAUUAGCUUGAUGGUGAGGUAACGGCUCACCAUGGCUACGAUGGGUAGCCGGCCUGAGAGGGUGAUCGGCCACACUGGAACUGAGACACGGUCCAGACUCCUACGGGAGGCAGCAGUGAGGAACUUUGCGCAAUGGGGGAAACCCUGACGCAGCGACGCCGCGUGGAGGACGAAGGCCUUCGGGUCGUAAACUCCUGUCAAGAGGGACGAAUCCCCAACGAAUGAAUAAGUCGAUGGGUUGACGGUACCUCUGAAGGAAGCCCCGGCUAACUCCGUGCCAGCAGCCGCGGUAAUACGGAGGGGGCAAGCGUUGUUCGGAAUUAUUGGGCGUAAAGGGCACGUAGGCGGUCAAGCAAGUUGGUGGUGAAAGCCCUCGGCUCAACCGAGGAACUGCCCCCCAAAACUGCUUGACUUGGGUCCCGGAGAGGGUGACGGAAUUCCCAGUGUAGCGGUGAAUGCGUAGAUAUUGGGGAGGAAACAUCAGUGGCGAAAGGCGG
rnacentral:rRNA from 1 species